rnacentral:rRNA from 1 species
GUCGGACGAAGAUACUUAAAAUGAGAGCUUCGGCAGGAUUUUUAUUUAUCUUACCGUCGGACGGGUGAGUAACGUGUGGGCAACCUGCCCUAUACUGCGGAAUAAUCACUGGAAACGGUGACUAAUACCGCAUGUCAUUACGGAAGGGCAUCCUUCUGUAAGAAAAGGAGUAAUUCGGUAUAGGAUGGGCCCGCAUCUGAUUAGCUAGUUGGUGAGAUAACAGCCCACCAAGGCGACGAUCAGUAGCCGACCUGAGAGGGUGAUCGGCCACAUUGGGACUGAGACACGGCCCAAACUCCUACGGGAGGCAGCAGUGGGGAAUAUUGCACAAUGGGGGAAACCCUGAUGCAGCAACGCCGCGUGAAGGAAGAAGGUUUUCGGAUCGUAAACUUCUAUCAACAGGGACGAAGAAAGUGACGGUACCUGAAUAAGAAGCCCCGGCUAACUACGUGCCAGCAGCCGCGGUAAUACGUAGGGGGCAAGCGUUAUCCGGAAUUACUGGGUGUAAAGGGAGCGUAGGCGGCACGCCAAGCCAGAUGUGAAAGCCCGAGGCUUAACCUCGCGGAUUGCAUUUGGAACUGGCGAGCUAGAGUACAGGAGAGGAAAGCGGAAUUCCUAGUGUAGCGGUGAAAUGCGUAGAUAUUAGGAAGAACACCAGUGGCGAAGGCGGCUUUCUGGACUGAAACUGACGCUGAGGCUCGAAAGCGUGGGGAGCAAACAGGAUUAGAUACCCUG